GACAGAGGUGCCAAGCGUUAGGCGGAAUCACUGGGCUUAAAGCGUGUGUAGGCGGAUCGUUAAGUGCCUUGUGAAAUCCCACGGCUUAACCGUGGAACUGCUCGGCAUACUGGCGGUCUUGAGCAACCUAGGGGCGAGCGGAACAAAUGGUGGAGCGGUGAAAUGCGUAGAUAUCAUUUGGAACGCCAAUGGUGAAAACAGCUCGCUGGGGGUUUGCUGACGCUGAGACACGAAAGCCAGGGGAGCAAACGGG
rnacentral:rRNA from 1 species